ensembl:lncRNA
GAGUACCAGCUGCAGUUGUGGUGGCAUUGGCUGUUGUAGUGUGGGCUGCAGUUGUGGUUAUAGGGGAAGUUGUAGUGGCAACUGCUGUUGAGGUACCAGCUGCAGUUGUGGUGGCAUUGGCUGUUGUAGUGUGGGCUGCAGUUGUGGUUACAGGGGAAGUUGUAGUGGCAACUGCUGUUGAGGUACCAGCUGCAGUUGUGGUGGCAUUGGCUGUUGUAGUGUGGGCUGCAGUUGUGGUGACAGGUGAAGUUGUAGUAGCAGCUGCAGUUGUAGUAGCAGCCUCUGUCGUAAGAGUGACUGCAGUUGUGGUGGCAGAAAUUGUUGAAGUGUGGGCUGCAGUUGUGGUUGCAGGGGAAGUUGUAGUGGCAACUGCUGUUGAGGUACCAGUUGCAGUUGUGGUGGCAUUGCCUGUUGUAGUGUGGGCUGCAGUUGUGGUGACAGGUGAAGUUGUAGUAGCAGCUGCAGUUGUAGUGGCAGCCUCUGUCGUAAGAGUGGCUGCAGUUGUGGUGGCAGAAGCUGUUGUAGUGUGGGCUGCAGUUGUGGUUGCAAGGGAUGUUGUAGUGGCAACUGCUGUUGAGGUACCAGCUGCAGUUGUGGUGGCAUUGGCUGUUGUAGUGUGGGCUGCAGUUGUGGUGACAGGUGAAGUUGUAGUAGCAGCUGCAGUUGUAGUGGCAGCCUCUGUUGUAAGAGUGG